rnacentral:snRNA from 1 species
GUGCUUGCUUCAGCAGCACAUAUCUAAAAUUAGAAUACAGAGAUUAGCCUGACCCCUAUGCAAAGAUGACACGCAAAUUUGUGAAACAUUCCCUAUUUUU